CCAGUCCCCACCCCCAGUUGUCCCUAACAAAAACACAUGAGACCAGAGUUAUGGGUAAGGGCAACGGUCACAGCUUUAUUAAGUUUACAACUUUUAACGGACCAGCAUUCCAUCCAACUGCCAGCUGUUGGGUAACUUCCCCCAACAGACAGAUCCCACUUCCUUGUCCAGAGUUCGUAUCAGCCUGGCUACCGCCAUCAGCCCUCGGUAGGCUGCGACACCCCAAGCCGACUCAUCAUUUCACUUCACUUUCCAUUUCACUGGCCAGGAGCACCGCCAGAGCUGUGACAACGAGAAAACAUAACCAGAACCACGAACAGACACCAGGAAAAAAACAACC
rnacentral:lncRNA from 1 species